AAGUCGUAACAAGGUUUCCGUAGGUGAACCUGCGGAAGGAUCAUUAACACAAUUUUACUGUGAUAAAUCCGUUGAAUUCUCGAAUUCAAUGGUAUCCACCCCAUUAUUGACGAACUUUUCUUAGAUGUUUCAAAAACAUAGAGCUAGUCUUUAUGUUUUUAACAUUCUAAACCUUUUUCUAUAUCCACACAAAUUUAAACCCCUUUUACAACAUGUAUUAGACUGAAAUGAAAAUUUUCUAUCAAAAAAUUGAUAAAAACAACUUUUAACAACGGAUAUCUUGGCUCUC
rnacentral:misc_RNA from 1 species